rnacentral:rRNA from 1 species
AGCGAACGCUGGCGGCAGGCCUAACACAUGCAAGUCGAACGAACCUUUCGGGGUUAGUGGCGGACGGGUGAGUAACACGUGGGAACGUGCCUUUAGGUUCGGAAUAACUCAGGGAAACUUGUGCUAAUACCGAAUGUGCCCUUCGGGGGAAAGAUUUAUCGCCUUUAGAGCGGCCCGCGUCUGAUUAGCUAGUUGGUUGAGGUAAUGGCUCACCAAGGCGACGAUCAGUAGCUGGUCUGAGAGGAUGAUCAGCCACAUUGGGACUGAGACACGGCCCAAACUCCUACGGGAGGCAGCAGUGGGGAAUCUUGCGCAAUGGGCGAAAGCCUGACGCAGCCAUGCCGCGUGAAUGAUGAAGGUCUUAGGAUUGUAAAAUUAUUUCACCGGGGACGAUAAUGACGGUACCCGGAGAAGAAGCCCCGGCUAACUUCGUG